UAAACUAUAUCUGUUGAUGUUGUCUCCAACUUUGCCUCACAGAGCUUUCCUGCGGUCCACCCUGAAGAGACUACUUCAAGAAGAGCAAAGCUAACCACCGAGACAGAACACUGGACGUGCACCCCCGUGACAACUGUCAUCUGUGUGGAGACUCCUUUCAUAUGGAGUGCUGCUGGGGCAAUUUCAACAAGAGUUUGGGUCACAGUUGUUACAGGUAUAGCUUCUUCUCCUUGGGACUAUGCAUUCAGAUGCUGGCUUCACCAAUUCCAGGACUGGCUACUUGAAAAGGUAGCAGCAACUACUAAUUACUCUGGUCAUUCAUUAUCUGUUUGGAGGUCCAGGUAUCGGAAGGGAGUUACCUUUUUUUACAGUAGUAGAUUCCCCAAUAUACCACAUUUACCUUCAACACUACCUUAGCUAUGGUUCACCAAACAUGAAUUGAGCCCCUAAGUAUUCACAGAGCUGGGGGAAUUGAUACAAUACAAAUGAGAGAUCAUCCAGCCUGCCCUCCGGAGAAACCCACAGCCUAGGGGCUCUUAACUGUUUGUCCUCAUAAAAGAUGUCUGUUCUGUGAGGAUCAGUUGCCAAGCUUACUGAAGUUUAAUUUAUAAACAAGCUUUGGUUUGGCUAAAUACCCUCUCCCUACCACCUACUUCUUCCUCUCCCCUUACUUAAAAACACUGCAUAAAUAUCCCCCAGAAGGUUUAAGGCCUGCCUGUGUUGGCUGAUAAGAACAAAAGGUAAAUUAACCCAGCUCUGUUAUUUUAGCUUCUGGACCAAAGAUUUCUGGCUCUUCCUUUGGUUAUAAUUUAGCCUGGAGACUGGAUCUGUCAAUGAUGGAAUCCCAGCAAUGAACAACAGAUGACCAUUUCCUCAAUCCUUGGGUACCAUGGUUCGCACAGUGACUCCAAACUUUUAUUGUUUACCUCCAUUGGUAAAAUAUUUUGAACAUGCAACCCUAUGUAAG
rnacentral:lncRNA from 1 species